GAUGAACGCUAGCGGGAGGCUUAACACAUGCAAGUCGAGGGGUAAAUGGCAGCAAUGCUGUGAGACCGGCGGACGGGUGCGUAACGCGUAUGCAACAUACCUUGUGCAGGGGGAUAGCCCGUGGAAACGCGGAUUAAUAUUCCAUAGUCCAGCUGUAUCGCAUGGUAUAGUUGGUAAAGAUUUAUCGACACAAGUUUGGCAUGCGUCUGAUUAGCUUGUUGGUAGGGUAACGGCCUACCAAGGCUACGAUCAGUAGGGGUUCUGAGAGGAUUAACCCCCACACUGGUACUGAGACACGGACCAGACUCCUACGGGAGGCAGCAGUGAGGAAUAUUGGUCAAGUGGGCGGAAGCCUGGAACCAGCCAUCCCGCGUGAAGGAAGACAGCCUUACGGGUUGUAAACUUCUUUUCUGUCAGUAAGAAUAAGCUUGUCGAGACGAGUGAUGCCGGUAUGACAGGAAUAAGCAUCGGCUAACUCCGUGCCAGCAGCCG
rnacentral:rRNA from 1 species